CGGCGAUGUCCGAAUGGGGAAACCCAGUGCAAUUCGUUGCACUAUCGUUAACUGAAUACAUAGGUUAACGAGGCGAACCGGGGGAACUGAAACAUCUAAGUACCCCGAGGAAAAGAAAUCAACCGAGAUUCCCCCAGUAGCGGCGAGCGAACGGGGAGCAGCCCAGAGUCUGAAUCAGCUUGUGUGUUAGUGGAACGGUCUGGAAAGUCCGACGGUACAGGGUGAUAGUCCCGUACACCAAAAUGCACAGGUUGUGAACUCGAAGAGUAGGGCGGGACACGUGGUAUCCUGUCUGAAUAUGGGGGGACCAUCCUCCAAGGCUAAAUACUCCUGACUGACCGAUAGUGAACCAGUACCGUGAGGGAAAGGCGAAAAGAACCCCGGCGAGGGGAGUGAAAAAGAACCUGAAACCGUGUACGUACAAGCAGUGGGAGCACCUUCGGGUGUGACUGCGUACCUUUUGUAUAAUGGGUCAGCGACUUAUAUUCUGUAGCAAGGUUAACCGUAUAGGGGAGCCGCAGGGAAACCGAGUCUUAACUGGGCGUUAAGUUGCAGGGUAUAGACCCGAAACCCGGUGAUCUAGCCAUGGGCAGGUUGAAGGUUGGGUAACACUAACUGGAGGACCGAACCGACUAAUGUUGAAAAAUUAGCGGAUGACUUGUGGCUGGGGGUGAAAGGCCAAUCAAACCGGGAGAUAGCUGGUUCUCCCCGAAAGCUAUUUAGGUAGCGCCUCGUGAACUCAUCUUCGGGGGUAGAGCACUGUUUCGGCUAGGGGGUCAUCCCGACUUACCAACCCGAUGCAAACUACGAAUACCGAAGAAUGUUAUCACGGGAGACACACGGCGGGUGCUAACGUCCGUCGUGAAGAGGGAAACAACCCAGACCGCCAGCUAAGGUCCCAAAGUCAUGGUUAAGUGGGAAACGAUGUGGGAAGGCACAGACAGCCAGGAUGUUGGCUUAGAAGCAGCCAUCAUUUAAAGAAAGCGUAAUAGCUCACUGGUCGAGUCGGCCUGCGCGGAAGAUGUAACGGGGCUAAACCAUGCACCGAAGCUGCGGCAGCGACACUAUGUGUUGUUGGGUAGGGGAGCGUUCUGUAAGCCUGCGAAGGUGACCUGCGAGGGUUGCUGGAGGUAUCAGAAGUGCGAAUGCUGACAUAAGUAACGAUAAAGCGGGUGAAAAGCCCGCUCGCCGGAAGACCAAGGGUUCCUGUCCAACGUUAAUCGGGGCAGGGUGAGUCGACCCCUAAGGCGAGGCCGAAAGGCGUAGUCGAUGGGAAACAGGUUAAUAUUCCUGUACUUGGUGUUACUGCGAAGGGGGGACGGAGAAGGCUAUGUUAGCCGGGCGACGGUUGUCCCGGUUUAAGCAUGUAGGCUGGUUGUCCAGGCAAAUCCGGAUAAUCAAGGCUGAGGUGUGAUGACGAGGCACUACGGUGCUGAAGUAACAAAUGCCCUGCUUCCAGGAAAAGCCUCUAAGCAUCAGGUAACAUCAAAUCGUACCCCAAACCGACACAGGUGGUCAGGUAGAGAAUACCAAGGCGCUUGAGAGAACUCGGGUGAAGGAACUAGGCAAAAUGGUGCCGUAACUUCGGGAGAAGGCACGCUGGUGUGUAGGUGAAGUCCCUGCGGAUGGAGCUGAGACCAGUCGAAGAUACCAGCUGGCUGCAACUGUUUAUUAAAAACACAGCACUGUGCAAACACGAAAGUGGACGUAUACGGUGUGACGCCUGCCCGGUGCCGGAAGGUUAAUUGAUGGGGUUAUCCGUAAGGAGAAGCUCUUGAUCGAAGCCCCGGUAAACGGCGGCCGUAACUAUAACGGUCCUAAGGUAGCGAAAUUCCUUGUCGGGUAAGUUCCGACCUGCACGAAUGGCGUAAUGAUGGCCAGGCUGUCUCCACCCGAGACUCAGUGAAAUUGAACUCGCUGUGAAGAUGCAGUGUACCCGCGGCAAGACGGAAAGACCCCGUGAACCUUUACUAUAGCUUGACACUGAACAUUGAGCCUUGAUGUGUAGGAUAGGUGGGAGGCUUUGAAGCGUGGACGCCAGUCUGCGUGGAGCCAACCUUGAAAUACCACCCUUUAAUGUUUGAUGUUCUAACGUUGGCCCCUUACCGGGGUUGCGGACAGUGUCUGGUGGGUAGUUUGACUGGGGCGGUCUCCUCCCAAAGCGUAACGGAGGAGCACGAAGGUUAGCUAAUCCUGGUCGGACAUCAGGAGGUUAGUGCAAUGGCAUAAGCUAGCUUGACUGCGAGCGUGACGGCGCGAGCAGGUGCGAAAGCAGGUCAUAGUGAUCCGGUGGUUCUGAAUGGAAGGGCCAUCGCUCAACGGAUAAAAGGUACUCCGGGGAUAACAGGCUGAUACCGCCCAAGAGUUCAUAUCGACGGCGGUGUUUGGCACCUCGAUGUCGGCUCAUCACAUCCUGGGGCUGAAGUAGGUCCCAAGGGUAUGGCUGUUCGCCAUUUAAAGUGGUACGCGAGCUGGGUUUAGAACGUCGUGAGACAGUUCGGUCCCUAUCUGCCGUGGGCGCUGGAGAAUUGAGGGGGGCUGCUCCUAGUACGAGAGGACCGGAGUGGACGCAUCACUGGUGUUCGGGUUGUCAUGCCAAUGGCACUGCCCGGUAGCUAAAUGCGGAAGAGAUAAGUGCUGAAAGCAUCUAAGCACGAAACUUGCCCCGAGAUGAGUUCU
rnacentral:rRNA from 1 species